UAUGCUAUUAAAUUGUAGCUUAUAUAAAACGUUUGGAAGAUUGACAUAGCGCCAUCUAAGCUACAUUUUCUUUUAAGUUGAAUGAAACUGUAUACGGUUUACAAAUCCAUCACCGAACAUCGUGACAAGUAAUUUAUAUGUAUAUUUUAUGUUUUGAGUGUUAAAGCCCUAAAAGCACUUUGAUUUCCUUUCUCUGUUUAAGAAACUGAAAGGACUUUAAUGGAAAAAAAUUUAUUCACACCAAGACAUGAAAGAAGGUCAUAAAAAUUUUCUUAAAUGAAGCAAGUUAUCUCUGUCUUUACCUCUCAAUUUUAACCAUCAAAUUGAAUAAACUCAAAUUCAAAGAAUAAACUCAAAAAAAGAAGACAUUACCACUCUCAGAAGAUCAAGAGAGACUAAAUUCAAUAAAGUCACAUCAAAGGGGAGUAAAAAGAAAAUAAAUUGUUAAAAAAAGAAAACCUAUCUAAAGUGCAAAAAAAGUAGUACAAUAAAAUUG